GCGCAGAAGACGGCGAGAAGGCAACUGGCACAGUCCUCGAAUAGGAUUGUACUUCACGUGUUAUAUUAUUUUUGGGUAAGUAAUAGUCAUUUUUAUAUUCUGCGACGUUUUCGGUGUUUUGUGACGCAUAUAAUAUUAUAAAAGUUUAGAAGCUCUCGCAGAGUGAUAAAAAUAACGUAAUAUAGGUAAAGUCAGUGUUAAUGAUGGGAUUAUAUUUUUUUUAAAUAAAUUUAUAAGACUUUCGAAACGUUUUAAAAAGUGCAGACUAAAUGCAUUUCUAAUUAAAUAAUAUAAUACGAAUAUUUUUUUAACUUCCUUGUAAUUUUCUUAAUAAUGGUAAAAGGAUGAAAUAGUUGAGAAACCAGGAAUUUUCAUUACAUUUUAUUCAAUAUUGAUUUUUGUUUUAAACGAUUGGGUUUUAGAUUUUAAGCGAAGUAAGGAAUGUGUUAGUUUUAUAAUGAUGUUUAUUAUUGUUAUUUUUUUAUUUAUAUGGGGAAAUUUACUAAAAUAAUGUUUUUGUUAUUUUUAAUUUUGUUUUUUUGUUGUAAUUAGACUUGAAAUUUAAACAGAGAUCUCAUAUUUGCCUUUUUUGGUAAAAAUUUCAAAACAUUUGAGCCAUUUUUAAGCUAUUUAUAGACAUUUUAAUUUUGCGAGUUUUUGACAUGAUAUUUAUUCCGUAGUUAUUUUGUGGUUACAAUUAUUAGACCAAAUAGAAAUGCCUGAACAUUUAAUAGGGCGUUCAUUAUAAGUUAUACUUAGUAGGUAAGAAGAAAAAGUUGAGUUUAGUAUUUUUUUUUUUAUAAGAACUUUAAUAUCAAAUUUUGACGAAAAUCAUAAAUAUUACGGUCUUUUAAAACAUAUGUAACCGAACUCCGCUCAAAAUCAUUUUUCAUUAGCAAUAAUUAAUCUUAGCAUAAAAAAAAUGCAUUAAAGUCCCCUCUUCAUCCUACCUUCUCAACUUCUCACCUACAACAGUGGCCCACCCAUCGUGUGAAAUAUGUCCGUCUUUUUUAACUGUAGUUCAAUAAGAAAGCACUUAACAUUUUCACUGAAAACUCGUUUAUGAACUUGUUUAGACUAAUUAUUUUAAAUUUACGUGUCCCUUUUCACGUGCUUGAUUAUUUGAGUAAUAUAGGUAUACUCUAGAUCUUCUUUUUUCUAUGCAUGCUUCAAGAUCUCUUUAGAUUAAUGUUUAAGCUUUUAAGUCUUUUAGAGAAUGUCCUAUCAUAGGUAUUAAUUGGCAUAUUAUCUAAAUUAUGUAUAGAGAGUCUUAUAAUAUUCGUUUCAACAAAAUUGCAUUUAAAAAAGUCUAUGUUAUAAUUAUACCCAACAAAAACAAAUAUAUCAUUAUUUUGGUUCUUGUCUAUAUUUGAGAAGUUUUAUCCUCCAAUAACAUAAUUGAAUUGACUCAGAAGAUCAUGCCAGGUAUUAGUAGAAUUAUAUAGAUUUUUAGAUUCUGAGUGAAACGAAGAUAGUUUUACAAAGAUGUUUAUUUUUUUUUUAUCUGUGCGCAACUUUUCUACCAAAAGUCUUGCUCCGAUUUUUAAGUAUAGCACCUUUUUUGAAAGAAAAUCGGUGUGGUGAAAUAUUCUAUGGAGGUAAUUUUUUGGUUUUUUAAAGAAUUUUCUCUUCAAAUUUGGAAAACCGAAAAAAACUAGAGGAAAAACAGGAAAAUAUAAGAAAUGUAGGUAUUAGUUAAAAUUUAUUACGGCCUUCUUUUUACCUGUGAACAACUCUUCUAUCAGCAAUUUUGAUUAGAUUUAUAAUGAGAGCAAUUUUUCUGAAAGGAAAUUCGACUGGAAGGUACUUUAGAGAGGUCGUUUUUCGAUUUUAUCAGGAGUUUUCCUGAAGAAAACCGGGGAAAACUUGGAAAAACAUGGAAAAACCAGGAAAACGUAGGAAAACUCGGAAAAUUGGUACAAUAUUAAAUAAAUAUAUAAAGAAAAUUUGUAAAGCCUAUUUAAUUAUUUUACUAUAAUAUGGCAUAUAUAUUGUUGAACAAGGAUCACUAUUAACUGAACUUUGCUCAAAAUCGUUUUUUCCUUAGCAAUGGUUUAUUGUUGCUUACAGGUAUACAUUAAAUUACCUAGUGGAUGCACUCGUCUCCAUUAUCCUAGGACGUCUUUUUUACCAUUUAGAUCAUUUUCUAAAAAGACAGUUAGUUCAUUAAAAUUAGAGUUCACAUUCCUAAUAUUACAAUACAGUAUAUUUAUAAACUAAAUAUUUAUAUUGUUAUUAAUAUGCAAAACAUUUCGUAAAAUAUUUAAAAUAGUUUGCUUUGUAACUAAAGCAUUAAGGCAUCUAUUAAUAUUUAAAAAGUUGUCCAUUUAUAACUGUGAAAGAAAAAUGAACAAAUAAAAACAACAAGCAUUUCCUUAUAGUGAGUAGGUAUCAUCAUCUAAUCUAAGGAAUUACUAAUGUAUUUUUGUAAGCAGUUUAAAUAAAUAAGUUAAAAAAAUUUCAAAUAUAGGUUAUAAUUUACCCUAAUUUCUAAAUUAGGGUAAAUUAUAAAGAGUACUCGUCAUUUAGUUUAAAUGCUUUGGUAUUUUAAUUUUUUUUUACAACUUAACCUAAUCGAACAAACCUAUAGGUAAACACUUAUCUUACUUUUUUUUUAAGGGGCUGAUUUUCCAAAUUUUCUCUGAUUUCAUAAAACUCAAAAAUUAUUUUAUACUUUUAAAUGGCCAUCUUAAUGCUUAACUUUUCCCACUAAUCUUUUGUCCAUUGUCUAGAGGGAAAGUCGCUUUUACGGACGAAUUUUACUUUACGGGAACCUAUUGAGAUAACUCAUUACAAAUGUAAUAUUUGUCUUGUACUUGUUUUGUAACAUUUAUUAUGCAUUUACUGAUAAAUAACAUUUUCUUGCGCACAUUGAACUCCGAUGUUUUGUUUGAUGAAACUUUAAAUUAGUUCUUUUUGACAAAAGACAUAUUAUAAGGUUUAAGAUUAGAUCAUUUAAAACGGAGCACAAUGAAAAUAUGGGAGAAAAUUUUCUUGGCAUUUUAAAAAAAAAUAAAUAAAAUAAUAGUAUUAAUAAUAAUCGUCAAAAUCAGACAAUUUUAUGAGGCAUGAGAGGUAUUACGUUUUUGAACCAAAAAACGCUCUGGCUCCGAGUUCCUUAGUUAAUUAACUUUGUAAUCUUGCAUAGGUAAUACGUCUUAAAAAUAAAUUGAUUUCUUAAUUUUUUUUUACUAAAUUUUUUAUAACACUAUAGACUAUAGAAAAAUGAUAUAAAAAAAAAAACGAGGUUGGCAAUAUAUUAAUGUAUUAUUCCUAUUCCCGUGAAAGUCAUAAAAACAGUUGUGUCCCUUCCCUCUUUUAAAUGGAUAUUAGAUCGGCACAAAAGUAUUAUCAUAUAAAGGCGACCAUUUAAAUAUUUGAAACAUUUUGAAAAAUCGGCACCGGAUUCCCUGAUAACAUAAUAAAGAUAUCAACUGAUAUAGUCAAACUUACAGUAGGUAACAUAAACUAUUCUUCUGGUAUUUAUAAAGAUAAAAAUAUUAAAAAAAAAAAAAAAAAAACGAACGAUUUUGUCUUCUAAAUAGGACAAUGUGCAAAUACUUGCCCGAUAAACAAUGUCAAAAACGGAAAAUGUUUUCGAUAUUUCGUUUUUAUAAUUAUAAAAAUAUUUAUGCACGUGACAACCGAAUUUAUAAAAUUAAUGUCGAUAACGCUGUAACCGUACAUUGUUACUAUACAGUAACGAGUAACUGUUCUCUUUUAAUUUUAUAAUAAUACAGUUUUUUGAUUUUCUCGUUUGUCGUGCCUCUAUAUUAUAAAAUAUAAUUAUAAAAACAGGUGCGUUUCGUUCGGUAUGCUUGCGAUAAUAAUAUAAUUGCUACGGUGCUGAGUCGAUGUAAAAUGGACAAAAUAACAUUAUUAUUAUUAUUUUACCGCCAUCUAAAUAUUGUGAAAUCGGCAUGUUCGCGAAUUAUGAUAAAAUAUAAUAUUGAAAUGUCGUCGUUGCAAUAUGCAAUAUUAUUGUAAUAUUAUAUUCGUCGUCGACCGUUCUGACGGUUUUCUAGUUAUUGUUUUUUUUUUUCGACGGUCGGUACUCUACACCACCGUCGUUUGACAAAUUAUACAUUAUUUCUCAAAAAUGAUUUUUAGUAUAACACCCACCUCCGGUCCCUCUCCUCUUUCUCUCAUCAUACGCUACUGAAAUCGAUAAAUGAGGUGUACAGUUUUAAAGGAUAUACGUUCACGAAUCGUUAAUAUACAAUAAUUAUUGCCCAUUGUAUUAGGCACUCCGUUUUUGGCAUCCGUUAGUUUUCAUAACAUAUUGUUCAUACUUUAAAAAUACGAAAUAUUCGCUCGUGGACCCACUAAAUAUAAAAUAUUGGUGGUAUAUUUAAGAGUAGAAGAUCAGGAAGAUACGAGUACAUCUCUUUCUUGACCCUUGUUUUUUAUUAUUUCUUAUUAAUUAAUACGAAUUCUUAUUUUUAGAUUCUGAGUGGAGCGAAAAAUGUAUUGGUUUUACAAUGAUGUUUAUUUUUUUUUUUUAGUGAACAAUUUUGCUCCAAUUUUCAAUUAUAGCACUUUUUCUGAAAGAAAAUGUGGCAGAACUGGUACUAUAAGAAGGUCAUUUUAUGAUUUUCUAAUUAGUUUUCGCUAUAAAUGGUAAAAACCGAGGAAAAACACGGAAAAACGUAUGAAGAACGGGAAAUGGGUACAAUAUUAAACAAAUAUUACUAAAAAAAAUAUAUGAUGCAUAUUAUGUAAUUAUUUUACCAUAAUAUGACAUAUAUACUGAUGACAAAGCAACAAUAUCAACCAAAUUCCAUUCAGAAUCAUUUUUCGUGAACAAUGGUUCAUCGUUGUUUACAUAUAUACAUUCAAUUUCCCCUCUACUAUACCUUUCCAACUUCUCACCUACAGCAGUGGCCCACCCACGUGUGAAGUAGGUCCGUCUUUUUACAGCUUUGGUACACGUUAUACAAUAUAACAUAAUGUAUGACCCAAUGCUUGGAAAUUUAAUAUCUCCUUCCUUGGCAAAUCCUACAAACACCACUGUAAAAUAUUAUAAAUGACGCGAUUGGGAUUCAUUUUCAUAAUAUGGGAACGUUAUGGGAGGUUAUGCAUUUUAAACAAAUUUUCUCGACAGAUAUGUAUUGCGGGGGUGGGAGAGGUUACGAGUCAUAUAUCUAUUAGUAAAUGAACAAAGAGCUGGUGAAGUGUAUCGACCCAUAGUUUAUGUCUGAAAUCACAAUCGAAAUUGUGCAACUACGUCGCGUCAUAUAGCGCUAGAUUUGUAGAAAAAAAAAAUCGUACAAUUCCCAAAUCUCACCUAAUUUUACGUCAUUGAAUUUAUUGUUAACGUUAAAACAUCCAAAGAUUUCAAAACGUUCUGAAGAUCAACUUAUAAUAAAAAUAGAAACCCUCGGUGUAAGGAACAUUUAAUUUUGUAUUGCAACCAUUUACAACGUAAUUACACCCUGUAGGUUAAAGGGAUGGCCAUUAAACAUUUUCGAAAAUCGUAGGCGUUCUAAAUGGCCUUUUUACAUUUACAAAUUUCAAUUGUUGAUAAAAUCGAUAUUAUGAAGGGGUGUAGGGUGUAUCUUCUUCAAUUAGUAUUGAUCGUUUUUUUCCAUCCAUAUCCUACCAUCCUACUCUAGUACAAUAAAUGAAGGAGGCACGGAUUCUGUGCCCCAUCCCUUUGUUUACGGACACUGUUUAAUGUGUAAUUUGUAGACCUUCCCCAUUGAGAAAUCCUGGUUAUUUCAGUGCACAAUGAAAUUUCGACUUUUGACUUAUACGACUUAAUGUAGAUAUUUUUAUUUGUAUAUUUUCGUGGGCGGCUAAGAGAAAUGAAGAAAAACUGUCGCUUAUUAUUCGGAUUAAAUCAACUGACGAUGUUUUACAAACAUUGAAAUGGAUUAUAUGCAAUAAUAUCGGGGAAACAAUACAUUCGUAACAUACAAGGCAAUUUGUCGCGUCCCACUUUUUUUCGCGUACGUAUUCGAAUUUCGUAUAGUGUUACGCGUCGUUCCGAUUGUUUUUCGCAAAACCCGUCGGCCACGCUCAUUAUCGAGAUAAAUUUCACAUGGUUAACAAUAUAAUAAUGUUCGAUUUCUAUAAUAUCAUACCGAACGACCGACCGACCGACGGCGACGUCGCCGAAACCUUUUCAACCGGACACCGGAGCGCUAGAAUAAAAAAAAAAAAAUCGCUCGAGUUUCUUUUAAUGCAGUUACGUCAAUGACGCGGGCCACCGUUAUCAUUAUAAUAUAAAAUAUAGUUUGUGGUAUAUAUAUAUAUAUAUAUAUAUUAUUAUCGUAUACGACCGUCACACGUUAAUGUGAUUAUAUCAGACUAAUGUCGUAUAGAAGAGUGUUUCAUAACAAACGAUAUUGUACGUGUUAUAUUGUCUACAGUCUGUUGUUGUUUUUUUUUUUUUUAUACAGUUUUUCUUUUGUAGCAGUGCGUUUUACGCAAUAUAUUAUCCUCCCGCCGCGUUUCGUGGUCGGGACAAUCCAAUUGGCUCCCGCAUACAGGUAGUCAAUAUUUCACCCUUAAAGUGUACGGUCGAAUUGGUUCUCAAAAAUUCGCUGUUAGAUUGGUUUCAUACACCUUUCUUUUUUACAAAUAUAUUGGUUACCAAAAUGUUAUUAAUUAUCUAUUUGUAAGUUUAGUACGAAAAUCGGUUUCCACGACCACGCGUACGUGCAUUAUUAGCAUAUCCACAUCGUUAUAAUUCGUUUCCGAUGAAUUUUAAAAAAUAUUGAAUUUUUAUUGAUUAAUUUCCCCUCUUCGCUUUGCAUUGUUUCGACCGAGUGCAUUUUAUACACUCAACAGCGCAUUUACUAAAAUAUGACUGCCGUAGUCGUCGAAUAUCAAUAACAAAACAAAUCUUGUUUAGAUAACGUAUAGAGAAUAGAAACCAUCAAUUAUCAAUAACGUAGUUUUAUAGUAGAUUACGGCGAUCAGUAUGAUAAGACUCGAUAGACAAUGAUAAUAUAAUAUAAUAUAAAAUAGUAUAGACGGAAUUAUAGCACCGGACUACUGAGUGUACAGUGCGAAUGAUGUGAAACAGUGGAACCGACGACAUCGAAAGCUGACAAAAAAGCACCUUUUUUUUUUAUCGUAUUCGUAUAAUGUAAUCGGUAGAGAAGUUCAUGCUUCAAUUGUAACCAGUGAAUAUAUUAGUAAGUGGAGUUGUAUAUUUGAUGGAUAUAAAUCGCCGUAGUGAUUUACCCGAGAGAAUGGAGGUGACAGGCCAAUAAACAAGGAAUUAAAUGCAUUUAGCUUAAAAAGAGUAAUAACUCAUAAAAAAAAAAAAAAUACUAAUAAAGAGGCAUACAAUAAACGCAUUUUAAAUUUCUUAACAGCACUGAAAUACAGUAUUAAAAAUCGAAUUGACACGUAUAUAGAGAGAGCAAAAGCGGUACGACUGUGCGAGGAAUAUAAAAAUAAUAAUUCAAAUAAAUAUAAAUAUAUAUAAUAAUUAUAAGUAUAAAUAAUUUUAUACAUGUUAUGUGAGCAUACCAUGUAUUCCCCCAAAAUUGCACAUCGUACCCAAAAAGAUACGGAUUUUCCGUUCAGUGGUUUUUAGAUUCUGAGUAAAACGAAAAAGCUUAUGGUUUUACAAAGAUGUUUAUUGUUUUUUUAUUCUGUGGACAACUUUUCCACCAGCAAUUUUGCUCCAGCUUAUAAUGAUAGUAAUUUUUCUAAAAGAAAAUUUCACCGAAAAGGUACUUUAGAAAGGCCAUUUUUUGAUUUUCUCCGGAGUUUUCUCAGUAAACUUGAAAAACUGGGAAAAACAUGGGAAAACCGGGGAAAUCGGUACAACAUUAAACAAAUAUUAUUUAAGAAAAAAAAUAGAGCCUAUUUAAUUACUUUAAUAUUAUAUGGCAUAUAAACUGUUGACAAAGCAUCAUUAUCAAUUGAACUCCGCUCAGAAUCGUUUUUUCAUAAACAAUGAUUAAUUGUUGUGUACAGAUAUAAAAUAAAUUCCCGUUUGUAUCCAACCUUCCCAACAUCCCACCUAUACCAGUGGCUGCAUCCGUCUCCAUUAUCUUACAAUUUUGUUUUAAACAUUUCUCUAAAACUACCCAAUAAUUUUUCGAAACAAAACCUUUCAAAACCGAUAUUUAUACUGGAUGAUACGCCGCUGGUUAGAGGAAUUUUAAAAUUUUGAACACAAGCGGAAGUCCAGUGACAUUUUUAAGCGGGUUUUUUAAUUUUAAUUUCCAUAUAGGUUCUUACGCUUGAAUUUCACACUUGUUUUUUUCAUUUUUGUCGAUUACAGAAUUGUUUUUCGUUUUUCGUUUUAUUAUUCAUUAUUUAGUUUAAACUAUAUCUAUACACGAUAUACACCAUAUAUUUCUAUAAUAAUAAUAAUGAUUGGUGUUGUUAAUUUUUGAUUUUUUCAGUCAGGCCCGUAACCAUGGUUCAGACGGGCGCUGAGACGACGACCGUGACGGAGGCCGACAUGUCGUGGCAAGAAAUGGAGCAGAUGAACGAAACAGUUAAGAAACAAGAGGGACGUAGCAAUGAUGACAAGGAACCCUCCCGAUUGCCCGAAAGCAAACAAGAAAUAAUAUGGACUAACGUCAUUAUCAUUGCGAUUCUCCACAUCUUGGCCGUUAGAGGAUUAUUGUUUUUACCCUAUGCGAAAUACCAAACCAUAAUUUUCGGUGAGUUUAUAGGUACUUAUAAUGGCUGGUAUUCGGUCUGCUUUGGCGGUCGGUCGAAUAACGAAAAAUCAUCAAAUAAAAAGAAACUAGGUCG
rnacentral:lncRNA from 1 species